rnacentral:misc_RNA from 1 species
GUGUGGCGCGAUUCCUGUUCUGCCGCGAUCACCACCAUUGGCCAAAGUUCGGCGCGGGUGCUAGAGGAGGGGCCACGUUCCACCCUCCAGACCGUGUUUCCCAAGAUUCAUCCCAUGUCCGCACAGCAAUUNNNNNNNNCCUGCCCGGACCGUCCCGGCAUCGUGUCGGCGGUCUCCACCUUCCUGUUCGCCAACGGGCAGAACAUUCUCGACGCCCAGCAAUACAGCGACACCGAGACCG